AGUCCAGGCGCCGUCGGGCACGACUACAACAGGCUAUUGGUUUCAUGGAGACGGAUGUCGAUCCCAUAGCCAUUUUAAACCCUCAUGUGCCAGUCCUUGCGGCGUUCUUUGAUGGCCAGAAGGACCUCAUGCAGGACUACAGACUGGGGCGCCAGUCUCUGGAGGCCCUGCUGAGGAUCCUGCCAUCAAAGAACACACAAGGCUGGUCACAUGAGGUGAAUAUUUUAAUUACCCUUUAUUGGUUGGCACACGGCUUGUCACAGUGUGGUGUCCCGAGCCUUUGAUGUCCCCAAGUCCACCGUCUGCAGACUGGUGCACACUGGAGUACAACAAAUUGCAGCCCUUCGCCAGGAGGUCAUCAAACUGCCCCCCCCUGGAGAACUGGAGGAGGUUGGCCAAGAGUUUGCAAGGCUGGCCAACAGCCCAGUAUCUCCAGGUGUGUGGGGGCCAUUGAUGGCUGCCAUGUCCGCAUAAAGACCCCCCCAGGACCUCUGGGCCAGGAUUACCUCAACAGAAAGCUCUUCCCAUCCAUACAAUUGCAGGCAGUGUGUGAUGGGAAGGGCUUCUUUCUCAACACCUUUGUUGGGUAUCCUGGCUCAGUCCAUGACACCAGAGUCCUGAAGAACAGCGCAAUUUACAAACAGGCUCUGUAUCCUCCCUCAGGAUUCUUCCUUUUGGGUGAUGGUGGCUACCCCUGCAUAGAAGGACCUGUGGCCCUCAUCACCCCAUAUAGAGAACCACUGCAAGGGAGGGUGCAGAGCCGCUUCAACCAGCAUCAUGCCAGGGCUCGCUCCAUCAUAGAGCGGGCCUUUGGCAGGAUGAAAAGCAGGUGGAGAUCGCUGUUCUUCAAGGCUCUGGAGGUCCACCACACCUUUGUCCCCUCAGUCAUCACCGCCUGUGCAGUGCUCCAUAACAUCUGCCUCACAGCGGGGGACAUCCUGGAGCCUGAAGAGGAUGUUGGGGACAUUGGUGUGGUUCCACCACGUCUGGUGAGGGGGGAUCGAGGCGGAGAUGGCCAGCGAGACCGACUGGCAGGGCUGCUCUCUGCUCCAUGUGUGCAACCAGUUGAACUACAAGAACAUGAUUAUUUGUAGGACUUGGGGACACGAAGGCC